GACGAACGCUGGCGGCGUGCCUAAUACAUGCAAGUCGAGCGAAGUUUUUCUGGUGCUUGCACUAGAAAAACUUAGCGGCGAACGGGUGAGUAACACGUAAAGAACCUGCUUCAUAGACUGGGACAACUAUUGGAAACGAUAGCUAAUACCGGAUAACAGCAUUAACUGCAUGGUUGAUGUUUAAAAGUUGGUUAUGCUAACACUAUGAGAUGGCUUUGCGGUGCAUUAGCUAGUUGGUGGGGUAAAGGCCUACCAAGGCGACGAUGCAUAGCCGACCAGAGAGGGUGAUCGGCCACACUGGGACUGAGACACGGCCCAGACUCCUACGGGAGGCAGCAGUAGGGAAUCUUCCGCAAUGGGCGAAAGCCUGACGGAGCAACGCCGCGUGAGUGAAGAAGGAUUUCGGUUCGUAAAGCUCUGUUGUUAGGGAAGAAUGAUUGUGUAGUAACUAUACACAGUAGAGACGGUACCUAACCAGAAAGCCACGGCUAACUACGUGCCAGCAGCCGCGGUAAUACGUAGGUGGCAAGCGUUGUCCGGAAUUAUUGGGCGUAAAGCGCGCGCAGGUGGUUUAAUAAGUCUGAUGUGAAAGCCCACGGCUCAACCGUGGAGGGUCAUUGGAAACUGUUAAACUUGAGUGCAGGAUAGAAAAGUGGAAUUCCUAGUGUAGCGGUG
rnacentral:rRNA from 1 species